UUUUUUUCACCAGUCCAUAUGACAGCUUUUGAGCGGUUCACAAUUACUUUUAGGCGAUGGGGUGUGAGAGUGAGGAGGAGUACAGGGAGUCGAGGUGGCACCUUCCCAACGAGGAACACUGCCCUUUCUUUAGUGUCCAUGGAAGAUUUCCUCGUCUGAUGUUGUUGUUGCUGUGUGAUGAUGUUGUUGUUGCUUGUUGAUUGGAGGUUGAAGGGGAAGGGGAACACCACCCCCUUGAAGAGGGGAAGGUGGUGUGUGAUAAACGGGUGGUGGAAUGAUUUGGCGGGCUUAUAGGAUGCCUAAACGAGGAACUGGAAUGUGGAACGCUCUAAAAGGAGCAAAGACAGGGAAUUUGGAAGACUGGUCUGGCCGUAAGCCAUUGCCGUAAUUCAAUGUUUAGGUGUCGUAAGGGUGUUUUUGACCGUAGGGUGCAAUCAAGAUGGACGUAAGGUUACUGCAGCGCCGUAAGCUUACGGUGGCUACAGAUGAAAAGUCGUGAGUUUACCAUAAAACAUGAUUUUUAGGGUUUUUCCAUAUCUCUUUCAUCCAAUUCGUGGGAGGCAAGGCUAGGGGCGAUCCUAGGUGACUUUGUGCAAGUUUUUACACUAUUCCACACCUUCCAAUCAUUCCUUCAUCAUCCAUCAUGAGUUGCUAGAACUUUUGUGACUUCCUCUAGGUAGACGGUUAAUAUAGCUUUGCACAUUAUUUGAUUUAUGUAUUGGAUCUUAUUUUAUUUGUGAUGACAAAUAUUUAAAUCUAAUUGACGUAUUAGUUAAUUUAA
rnacentral:lncRNA from 1 species